CCUUACCCUAGAGGCAUUGCAGGUGUAGCUGCUGUGUCACGUGUGCACCAGUAGGUGGCAGAGAGGAAAGAGGCUAUAUCCAAGCUCAGUGUUCUGACUGAUGAAAAUAUGAAUGAUUCACAGCACUCCCUAA